CAACAGGAAUGCACCUUUACAUAUUUUUCCAUAGUAAAACUGAUUUCCUUCUAAUUUCCCAUGGCCCAUAUAUCCCUAUUUGUUGCAUAAAAUAAUGGAAUAAAAAAAAUGUGGGUGGCAAGGUUGUAGAUAAUAUCAAACAUUAUCUUUUAUGGUUUCCAAUUCAAAUCUCAUUUGAACCUUCCAUAAAAAUCAGAUAAUAUCCAUAUUUGGAUGUGAGAAAGGAGGGCG
rnacentral:lncRNA from 1 species